UCGAACGGCAGCACAGGGAGCUUGCUCCCGGGUGGCGAGUGGCGCACGGGUGAGUAAUACAUCGGAACGUGUCCUGUUGUGGGGGAUAACUGCUCGAAAGGGUGGCUAAUACCGCAUGAGACCUGAGGGUGAAAGCGGGGGAUCGCAAGACCUCGCGCAAUUGGAGCGGCCGAUGCCCGAUUAGCUAGUUGGUGAGGUAAAGGCUCACCAAGGCGACGAUCGGUAGCUGGUCUGAGAGGACGACCAGCCACACUGGGACUGAGACACGGCCCAGACUCCUACGGGAGGCAGCAGUGGGGAAUUUUGGACAAUGGGGGCAACCCUGAUCCAGCCAUGCCGCGUGCAGGAUGAAGGCCUUCGGGUUGUAAACUGCUCUUGUCAGGGACGAAAAGGACCGUGUUAAUACCAUGGUCUGCUGACGGUACCUGAAGAAUAAGCACCGGCUAACUACGUGCCAGCAGCCGCGGUAAUACGUAGGGUGCAAGCGUUAAUCGGAAUUACUGGGCGUAAAGCGUGCGCAGGCGGUUCUGUAAGACAGAUGUGAAAUCCCCGGGCUCAACCUGGGAAUUGCAUUUGUGACUGCAGGACUAGAGUUCAUCAGAGGGGGGUGGAAUUCCAAGUGUAGCAGUGAAAUGCGUAGAUAUUUGGAAGAACACCAAUGGCGAAGGCAGCCCCCUGGGAUGCGACUGACGCUCAUGCACGAAAGCGUGAGGAGCAAACAGGAUUAGAUACCCUGGUAGUCCACGCCCUANACGAUGUCUACUGGUUGUUGGGGUUUUNUAACCUUGGU
rnacentral:rRNA from 1 species